rnacentral:rRNA from 1 species
GACGAACGCUGGCGGCGUGCCUAAUACAUGCAAGUAGAACGCUGAAGAGAGGAGCUUGCUCUUCUUGGAUGAGUUGCGAACGGGUGAGUAACGCGUAGGUAACCUGCCUUGUAGCGGGGGAUAACUAUUGGAAACGAUAGCUAAUACCGCAUAACAAUGGAUGACACAUGUCAUUUAUUUGAAAGGGGCAAUUGCUCCACUACAAGAUGGACCUGCGUUGUAUUAGCUAGUAGGUGAGGUAAUGGCUCACCUAGGCGACGAUACAUAGCCGACCUGAGAGGGUGAUCAGCCACACUGGGACUGAGACACGGCCCAGACUCCUACGGGAAGCAGCAGUAGGGAAACUUCGGCAAGGGGGGCAACCCUGACCGAGAAACGCCGCGUGAGUGAAGAAGGUUUUCGGAUCGUAAAGCUCUGUUGUAAGUCAAGAACGGGUGUGAGAGUGGAAAGUUCACACUGUGACGGUAGCUGACCAGAAAGGGACGGCUAACUACGUG